UACGGGGGGGGCAAGCGUUGUUCGGAAUUACUGGGCGUAAAGAGCUCGUAGGCGGUGUGUCGCGUCGGCCGUGAAAACCUGCAGCUUAACUGUGGGCUUGCGGUCGAUACGGGCAUCACUGGAGUUCGGCAGGGGAGACUGGAAUUCCUGGUGUAGCGGUGAAAUGCGCAGAUAUCAGGAGGAACACCGGUGGCGAAGGCGGGUCUCUGGGCCGAUACUGACGCUGAGACGCGAAAGCGUGGGGAGCAAACAGG
rnacentral:rRNA from 1 species